rnacentral:rRNA from 1 species
GAGUUUGAUCGUGGCUCAGAUUGAACGCUGGCGGCAGGCCUAACACAUGCAAGUCGAGCGGAUGACGGGAGCUUGCUCCUUGAUUCAGCGGCGGACGGGUGAGUAAUGCCCAGGAAUCUGCCUGGUAGUGGGGGACAACGUUUCGAAAGGAACGCUAAUACCGCAUACGUCCUACGGGAGAAAGCAGGGGACCUUCGGGCCUUGCGCUAUCAGAUGAGCCUAGGUCGGAUUAGCUAGUUGGUGGGGUAAUGGCUCACCAAGGCGACGAUCCGUAACUGGUCUGAGAGGAUGAUCAGUCACACUGGAACUGAGACACGGUCCAGACUCCUACGGGAGGCAGCAGUGGGGAAUAUUGGACAAUGGGCGAAAGCCUGAUCCAGCCAUGCCGCGUGUGUGAAGAAGGUCUUCGGAUUGUAAAGCACUUUAAGUUGGGAGGAAGGGCAGUAAGUUAAUACCUUGCUGUUUUGACGUUACCGACAGAAUAAGCACCGGCUAACUCUGUGCCAGCCGCCG